GACAGAGGUCCCGAGCGUUGUUCGGAUUCAUUGGGCGUAAAGGGUGUGUAGGAGGUCGGGUAAGUCAGGUGUGAAGUCUCACAGCUUAACUGUGAAACUGCGCUUGAUACUGCUCGGCUAGAGGAUCGGAGGGGGUAACGGAAUUUAUGGUGUAGCAGUGAAAUGCGUAGAUAUCUGCAGGAACACCCGUGGCGAAGGCGGCUCGCUGGACCGCAACUGACGCUGAGGAACGAAAGCUAGGGGAGCAAACAGG
rnacentral:rRNA from 1 species